GGGGCUUGUCCUGACUCCUUUUCUUCACCUUAUAGGGUAACUGCCAGGACCUCAGUCACAGACUGAGGUCUGAGAGCAAUCUGAUCUCAGAGGAAAGGCAGCAGUGAAAUGAAAACACAGUGGAUGUGUGAUCACCCCCACAGCGCUCUGAAUAUAACAGCCAGGCCUCUGCGGCUCCCUGGAUUCUCCAGCUCGAAGAUGAACCAUGCCAGGGCCGGGCAAGGCCCCGAUGGCUCGAAGAAAUGAUGUGUGAGCUGGUAAAAAUCUGAUCGAGGGGACAUGGAAUAGAGUUCAUGAAUGGAUGGACAGACAGUGCUGGCAAUGGCGGGGGCGGGGGAAGGGCAGGGCCUGCACCAGGAGACCUUCCAGAGAAGCAGCCGUUAGUAACUAAGUAAGAAGUCGAAAACUGAAAAGAAAUCUCCAAUGAACUUGUAAGUUCAGAGCCGUGCCUCACCACACCAAAGCCUCCUUCCGUGAAGUGUUGGAAUGCAGAUGUAUGCAGUGACACGGCAAAACCCUCCAGGAAGGGACCGGACAUGGGAAGAUCCUUAUCUCCAGUACAGGCACGUCACAGACAGGACCCUACUGAUGAGGGUCUGGACAACCUCCCAGAGCCAAGCUACUUGAAUGUGGCAGGUCCAAAGGAGACACGAAGACUUAACAUGAUGGCAGAAGGGCCCUCCAAAGCCACGGGAGGGCAGACAGGUUCCAGAGCUCACGAACCUGCCCCAGUUCCUGUGCCCAGGGAGCUGAUGAAAGCCCCCCUGACCCUGAACUUUUGAUGCUUCCAAGGCUCAGGUCUUCCUGUUCCAAUUCCGCAGGACUUCUACAUGAUUCUGGUGAAGGCUACGGACUCUCUUCAGAAGAUCAAUUCACACGUACACAUAAAACUUUACCCACAUCCCCCGCUUGUGCAUGGCCCCCUGGGGUUCUGCAGAACAGGCAACUCCAUUGUACGUUGUAAGAUAACUCCUAGAAGCCCAUAUAAAGUAUUGUUAAAAAUAAGAUAAUGCUUCCAGCUUCAAAGGAACCCAAAAUGCAGAGCUAGCAGACUGCUCACAGAUUUAUAAAGCAGAGUUUGUUUUCUCUGUUUUACGCAAUCUUCCCUCAACGCUACCUCUUGGUAGGGCUUCUGCAAAGUGCUCUCUGGGACCAUCCCCCAACCACCAAGAUCCUUAGGUUCUCUUGGCCCUCUUUUCCCCACCAAAAUCUGCCCUUCCAAAAUGCCCAGAACCUGAAACUCCAAUGUUCUUAACAGUUUAACAAGAAUCAAGGGCUUAGGCUAAAGAAUACCAUUCUAACUGUGGACUUUCAGUCAUCAGAUACUGUGUGUGUGUGUGUGUGUGUGUGUGUGUGUGUGCGCGCGCGCGCGUGUGCGUGCGCGGAGGGGUGACACAGCCCACAAUCUGGGUGUGUCAGAUGCCACUGAAUAUAUGCAGGGAUUUUUCCCGAAGAAAGCAGACAGAUCCCUGCCUUCCAAAUUGCCCCUGUCAGCCUGGGCUUUGGGCCUGGCUCUCCAGAAAUAUCAUAGGUCUUUGGUGUCUUCAUGAUUUUCAUAUGUCUUAGCACCAUGCCUUUCUUGCCACCUCCAGAGAAAGUGCUGGAAUGGGCUCUUCAGAGAAAAGCCCUCUCCAUUUUGUGCUGGAAAGGAAAUAAUAAGUAGGGGCAUCCUCCCCAAGCCCAUGGCUCUGACACUCCUUUGCUAUGAAGAUAAGUCGAUUCUCCCAAGGAGACAGGAACUGAAGAGCUCAGGGAGAGGCAGAGCCCGCCCUCAAAGCAGCCAUGGCUGAUCCCUAACAGGAAAAUUACCACCCUGGUCUCUGCUCUGCAAAUCCUAAGAGGACAGCCUAUGCCCUGUCACUCCUGGGUGUACAACUUUGCCAAAAGUACAGCAGUGCCAUCUCCGCUGCCCUGCAUCCACACGUCUCUCAGAGAGAGACACACACACACCACACACACACACACACUCCCUUUAGGUUGGGGGUUCAUAUCGUCUUGUGGCAAGAUGCGUCUUCCUUCUAAGGCAAGAGAUCCAAAACUUUAGCGAAAAUCGUGCGGCAGAGAAUCAAGCAAAGGUACUUGAAACAUAUGGACCUGAUUUCACUCCAAAUCCACAAGGCAGUGCGAAAUGGACCGGAGGAAAAUCCCGAGUGCCCGAGGAAAAGCUGGAGGCUCUGCCAAACCCCAAACAUUUCCCGUGCUGGAAAGUGUCAGCAAAGCCCACUGGCUCUCACAGUGAUGCAGAAGAACAGCGGGGGCUCUCUUGGUUCUCUGGGCUGUGGCAGCUGGUGGCCACCCCGUUGCUCCCUCCGGGGAUACCACUGCCCCAUGCUCAGCUGGCUGCACCCAGGGGCCUUGUGGCUACACCAGAAAUAGCUGUCUUGGGACCUUGCUGCAUUUGUCAAGGGGGUACAACGUGACUCUGAUGGGUGGCAGAAGACAUGUGGAGACUGGUCUGCGUGUCCUGGGGAGUCUUCCUAACCCACCUCCAUGCACACCGUCUGCCCGUUUGCGUGAGGACAAAGAACGAGCCGCCACCUUCUGCAGCAGAGGCGGGCAAAGGGUAGAGUACUGAACAACCGGGGCCACCAGACUCAUCAAAAAGAGACCGAGCUGCUUAAAAGAAAAUGUAAGCGAUUGCGUUGGUGAGAUGACCAGAUUGCACUAUGACUCCAUUUCCUACCUACCCCCUAAAGAUGGAGCUUAGGAUGGGGAUCAGGACGGCUACAGAGAAAUAAAGAAAUCUGUACUUCCUCUUACUAUUUAUAGUGGGAGUUCUCAUCACACAUCCCAAAGCGUGGGAGACUCGUGGUAGCUCCCAAAGCCUCCCCAGAGUCCCCGACAAAACCUCAGUCCCUGUCAAGGGCAAGUUAACACGCUUCAGAGAAGCACUGUCCUCCCUGUACACAUAAUAUGAAUGCAAGACAAGACUUAAAACUAGGCAACUUCUCAAAAAAAAGAAAAAAAAGUAGGAAACUCUUUCCAUUCAAGAGGGGUUAUGCUUUAGUGAAGGGAUCAUAGGUCUAUUCGCCGAGCAGGUGUUUUGUGGUUUUUUUAAUCACUAUAUUUCACACAGUCUAGCCUCUUUUAAAAGAGAGAAAGAUCCAGAAGUAUUGGGUUUCUUCCUCCAGAGCCUCCCGCACGACACGAUCAGCUGGAGCUGAAUAGUGGCCUCUGUAGACCACAGUCCCCACCAAUCCCUAUUGCCUGCCUAUAUCAGUUUUCUACUGCUACCCUAACAAACUACCAUGAGUGUGGCAGCUUAACACAACACCCAUUAUCUUCCACUUUUCUAGAUCAGAAAUCCAGGUGGGCACAGCUGGAUCUCUGCUCAGGGUUCCACGAGGCUCCCGCCGGAAGGAAUGUGCUUCCCAGCUCAUAAGGCUGUCUGCAGAAUUCAGUUCCUUAGAGCUGCAGGCCUGAGGUCCCCUGCUGCUUUCCUUGCUGGCUGUGCAGCCUCUAGAGGCACCUGCAUCCCUCAGGAGUGGCACCAUCUUCAGGACAGUAUCAGCAUCAUGCGGAAGGCAGUCCGUCCCAUGCUUGGAAUCUCUCAGACUUCCCCCUUGGCCAGCAGCUAGAGAGAACUCUGUCCUUAAAGGGCUCCUGUGAUUACAUUAGGUCCACCCAGGUCGGCUCCCUUUGGCCAUACAACUAACCACAGGCGUGACAGCAGGGGGCGAAGGUCAUCUUAAAAUUACUCCAGCCCAGUCCCUUCAUUUGCCUGUGAGCCCUAGAAAGCUCUGCCAAGAGGAAGAUUCUCGAGGAUUCUCCCAAGUAAAGCGCUUCAGACACGUGUCAACAUCCCUUCCAGACCUCCCUUUGCUUCUAUGUUCUUGCAGUAGUUUUUACUCCAUCAAACAGGACUCGGUGAGGUACUCUCGGCUUUUUAAAACCUAUUAUUAGUCUCCUCAUUACCACGGAGAUUGUGUCCUCAAUUCAGGGCUCCCUGUAGGCAGGGGUAAUAGGAACAGGGCCAGGAAGGUGGCAGACUUGGCCUCUGGGUGCUAGAAUGAACACAAGGAAGGGAAGGGGAGCUGAAAUUGUUAUGAACCCACCAAGUGCCCGGGCUUCCCGUUGGCUCAGUUAAGCAUCAGACAGGCAUCGUUAUCCCCAUUUGUCCAGAAUAGCGAAUGGAGGCCGAGAGAGACCACGACUGCCCGAGAUCAUAGACAUACACAGGUCCAGCUGCAAAUUCAGUUCUGUGAUCCCAAAGCUCUAUGUUUUCCAUUUUCCGUGUAGGGAAUUGCUACCACUGGGAGGGUGGGAGUAGCGUUAGGUGACUGAGCCUCAGAGCACCAGGCGGGUUAAUAAAAGAAGCCCAGACCCUUUGGGCCCCGCUGGACCCCAGCACUGAGUUGAGAAGUGAUUCAGGAAGGUGAUGGAGGGAGGGCGGAGGCCAGUUACUGCUUGGAGGGGGAAGAGCUGGAGGCUCCACAUGGGAGAACCACAGCCACUGCUGUCCUUGACAGGUAGACGCCGUUGCUCUACACCUGUGGCAGUGAACUGGUCAGAGCAACUGAAAGAAUACUAUCAGGAAGGAGAGUGGCCGUGGAAACAUGGUGGUGACUGCGUUCCCGCAUUGAAUAAAGGAAGCCCUUAAGGGUUCGGCCUUCUGCACGCAGGCACCUGCUACCUUGGCAGAAGGAACUAGGUAGCAAUGGCCUUGCCUCAUACUUCACCCCUAAGAAACAGUGUGGUAGCAGAAAAACGACAGCGGGGCCACACUCCUACCCCACCAUGAUCCUUGGGGGAAUAAGUACCUCAGUGUGGCCAGAAACCUGCCUAGGAAAGGAAAGCAGCCUGAUGCCCUAAGCUUCCUCACGUAGAAACAAGGGAUCUUGCCCCCAGCCAGAAGCAAAGGGAACAGAAGUGCAGCGUUUCUGCUGAUGUGACCAGACAACAGUAACAAACCCUUCACACAGCCAGGAGGCAAACCGGAUCCAGGGCUGUGGAUUAUCAGGUCGGGAUAAUCAUUAACAAACCACUUCCCAAAGCACCUUCACCUACAGCAUCUCCACGUGUUAGACCAAAUCUGUGACAAGGGAACGGUGGGAAGGUGGUGAUGAUUAGAAACAGAGAAGUAACCUAGAAUUAACUAGGUGUUUGUGGACGUUUGGGCGGGGGGUGCUGGAGAUGUGUAACGUUCAGGGGCUGCCCAGCACCCGCAUCUCCCUGCUCCGUGUGGGAAUUUCCCAUGUGGGCCUCUUGGUGGGAAGCAGAGCUUCUUCCCAUUAUGGAAGCCAAGCCAGGGGUUGCUUUCCCAGCAGCCUUUGCAGUGAAGGCACAGGCACACCUGGGUUCGGCCAACCAGGGACACUGCCUGGGCCUGGAACCCGAGGAGGCAGACAGGUGGGGAGUCCAGGCUGGCAGUGGGGAUAGCAACGCCGGUCUCCAAGGGCUGCGGUGGCAGUGAGGCCAAUGACAGCACCUGCGGCCCAGCGCAAGCAACGGGGUCCCCGUCCACAUUGGUUGGGUUUCUCGGUGUGAUCUGGACCGAUUCCAGCUGCCAAGCCUUUCUGUGCUCUUCUUGUUUUCCAAGCCUGCUUCCUCAGGCAGCUGAACGUUUCUGUGACGAAUUAAUGUCCUCUCAAAAAACUCCAUUCUGCUAAAAUCGGCCAGGCAAUUUCUGUUGUUGGCAGUUAAAAUGCUUCUCUAGUACAACAGGUUUACAAGCUUUCUGGACCCCUUUCUGAAAAGAUUGAUUUGAGCACAGAGGAACCACUGAGGGCCUAUAAAUAAAGCAGCCCAAGAUCUAGCAUGAUUUAUUGGAAAGGGAAUUGGAACGGGGGUCGGGGGGACGUGGAUUGAAGUUCUGAUUCUGGCAUUUGGAACUGUGUGACCCAAGCCAUUUGAUGUUGAGGGAGCUCAGUUCCCUUAUUAUAAAAUUGGAAGAAUAACGGCUUCUUCAAAAGGCUGCCUUGAGGAUGAAAUGACAACAGGUACUGUCCUGACACAUGAAAAGUGCUCAUGAAUGUCUGCUGAAUUCAAUACCACAUCCAAAUAAAAACAGCUCAUGUCAGCUCUGAGAGAGACGAAAAUUCAAAAGAGACCAGGGGCAGGGAGGUAAGUGCAUCACGGCAAGGGGUGGGCGUGGUGGUGUGUGGUUUUGGCAGCGGUUAAGGUACCAAGACUUGAAAUCGAAAUGGGUUCUAAGUCUGACUUUGCCACUGAUGCGAUGUGCAAAAGCCAUCUGUGAAACGGGGCUGAUACCUGGCCCUGCCAGCUUGAUAGGACUGCUGAGAAUACGAAAUGAAUAGUUUUUAGGAAAGUCUGCUGGAAGGAAUAAGCCUAUUGCAAGAAUGAAGUUACUGCUGAGAUGCAGUAGCAAAAAAGUUCCCCCAAAAAACAAAUCUGCUGCAGCGUGCUCUGCCUGGAAUCCCCGGGCUGGAUGUUAGAUGCUCUCGUGAAUGAAAACAAAACACAGAGCCCACAGGCACCGGCUGGGGUGCUGAGUCACUUGACACGGGGCACCCCCCCGGCAGGGACUUCUGUUGGCAUCACUGGCUAUGUGGGGUGGCCCGGGAGGCGAGGCCAGGCAGGUGCAAGGGCAAAGGCAGCAGGAGACAUUUGGCUGAGCACCUUAUCAGCUGUUCCUGUAAAUAACUGAAGCUCAGCUAGAGGUUGCAGAUGGGAAUCCCUUUUCUGAGAACCACCCCUCACCCACCCUUGGCUGCAGCUGAUGUCUGCACGGACCUGGGCUACCGUCAUCACCAGGAUGAGGGCCCUGUCCACAGAGCUCAGAACCUCAGAAAUGGGCAAGACUCGGGGAGGGUGGGGUUGGCAGGGGAACUUUACAAAGCCCCUAACUCAACACAGAGAUCCCGUCCUCCCCGGUCCUCCCCUCCCCGGAGCAGCGGAGCAGCGCAGAAGUCAGCCCCAUUCUCCCUCCACCAACCUUUCCUCUUAAAGAGACAGUGUUCAGUUUUUCAUCUCUGGACCAGAUGACAAUCCCCCGCACUGAGCAAAAGAAGAUUCAGCAAAUUUAGCCAACCGUGGCUGAAAGGCCCAGGUGCUGGCUAGGUGCUACUGUGAGGCCCUGAAGGAGGCGGGAUACGGGCAUACAGGUGAUGACGGCUCUUUAUACAUCUGGAGGAUGCUUCUGCACGGAAGGGGCUCUCUGACUCCCAGAGGAGGGCUCUACAUGGGCACAGCGCUGGAAUAAGCCUGGCCUGGGGCUCGUGAACACCCUGCCACACAUCAGACUUGCACAGAACUGUGGGGAGAUGUCCAGAUAUCUUAGACACAGCAGAGCCCUAAAGGUGUGCCAGAAACAGAGAACGAGGACAGAGACCCAGGCUUGGUUUGCUCUGUUCCACGGUGGGGCGGGGGUCGUUAAGGGCCCUGGAGAGCAGGCAGGUGUGGCCUGUCCCCGUCCCUCCUCCACGACAGCCCUCACCCACCCACCUCUCAUUAACCCCUCCUCCUGAGGAAAGCCUGUCGUGCUCAAUCGCAGACAGUCUAAAUGUCCACCCCAGGAGGAAGGGUUAUGGAAACAACUACCACGUAGUGACUGACGAGUGCGCUAGGUACAACGCACCCGGCAAAGCGCAGCUGCGCUCAUCAGACCCUCCCCAAACCCUGGAGAGUCACUGUCAAUGCCCAAAUUCACAUCCUAGUAAGUGGCAGAGCCGGGAUUCAAACCCACAUAUUCUGGUUCCCUCCGCGUACCGUGACUCACCUUGAAAAGUACAUCGCGAUUCUAAAUACAAAACAUGACUAAAACAUGACUGCCGAGGAGCCCAGCUGUAAUCACGGAUUAUCAUGUAAUUAUUCGCGCAACCCACAAACACUUAGUAAGGGCCUCCCGGGGAAGCAGUGGGAGGGGGUGCCCAGCCUCUACCUCGUCUUGUAUUUUCCACUACUAGCUUCUGUGCUUUAGAACCACGGUUCCAGGGCUUCCCUGGUGGCGCAGUGGUUGAGAGUCCGCCUGCCGAUGCAGGGGACGCGGGUUCGUGCCCCGGUCCGGGAGGAUCCCACGUGCCGCGGAGCGGCUGGGCCCGUGAGCCACGGCCGCUGGGCCUGUGCGUCCGGAGCCUGUGCUCCGCAACGGGAGAGGCCACGGCACUGAGAGGCCCACGUAACGCAAAAAAUAAAAAAAUAAAAAAAAAUUUAGAACCACGGUUCCCAGCCUGAACGUCUCGGCACCAAGGCACCCAGGGACCCCAUACCGAACUCGCAGGGGCACUGCAGUGUAUUUUUAAUUUUUGAGGAAAACAGAGUGGUACUCGACGUCUAUCUGAUGCCGCGGGAGAUACUCGCUCUAAAAAGUUCACAGUUUCAAUACUGACUUGCACUACAUUCCGUUCGAUAACAUGCCAUCUCUGUGAAGCUCGGUUUUCGGCAGUUGCCGUGAUGAAAAGCAAAUAAACUAAUCAAGGCAGGAUAGGAAAUGAGGGUGGUGUGUUCUAUCUGAUUCUGUGGUUUGAGAAGUUGUGCGGCGCCCGAUGGGUACACAUAUCCCAGUAUCACUCAUUCUGAUCAUUUAAGAAUGCAAUACAAAUAUUUUUUUUCCUUCAAUUUAUGUGUUAUUUUUUUCAAGUAUCUGGUACGUUGGUGAGACAUACUAUAUAUGACUAUUGGAUACUAUUUGGAUCUUAUUAUUUGGACUUGCUAAAUGGAAUUGCCAGGUCUUUCUUUUGGCCUAGGAGCACCAUGAAAAAAUUACUGAGACAUUAAGAGCACCAGGAAUGAAGAAUGUUUGGGAACCUCUGUUCUAGAACAUUCUGUGUACUCUCUCCCCUAACGCAUGAUUAGAAGUUCUUUAAAGGCAGGAGCCAUCUUAUACUGCUCAAUACUUUGGUUUCCCCUUGGCAUAGUGCUUGGCUUGCUGUAGAUACUUUUUAGUACCUGUUCACAAUUUACAAUAGAAGUCUGAACCUGGCCUGCAGAAGCCCUUAAAGAUCCACAGAGGUCCAGCGAGGUGUGAGUGAUACAGGGGCUACUGAAACUCCAAGCUCACAGGUCCCACCAGCUGGGCGGCAGAGACGUGUAGGGCACCUUCCUGACCUUAGAGAAUAAAUAAAAUUUUCUGAGCUUUCUGAUGCAAAGUAACACAAUCAACUGCCUCUUAAGGGUUUUAA